GGCUGGAUGGCCGAGCGGUCUAAGGCGCUAGACUCAAGAACACAAGUUCUUCUUCACAAAAGUGAGGUGCAUUCUAGUAUCGAAAGAUGCGUGGGUUCGAAUCCCACUCCAGUCA